CACCUCUGUUCACAAGUCCCCAAAGAACUGGCCAUGUGCUCCUGUAAUUAUUGAUCCCAGCUGGAAGAGCUUAGUGCCUGUGGUGGGGGUAUUUACACAGCUGGACGAGGACAGCCUCAGAUAUUUGGUGCUCAUCAGGGAAAGGAAGAGCCCUACAAUGCUAGAGAGCAUGGGUCUGGGUUCUGGUUCUGAAUGGUUGUGCUGAGAUGUUCUCCUGCUGUUCACCAUUCAAAGCCUAGUGUGGCUGACUGGGAAGACUCGUUGAGCUGUCCUGCUUGCUUCAAAGUUCUACGUGUCUGAAGGGAAAUGAGCGAAGAGCCGCCGUGGGCUGCAGCAGUGGUUUCUUCACAUAAUCCUGGCGAUGUGUUUUGCUGAUACUUUGCACAAGGGCAUACGAGGUUGCAAAGCCACCUGGGAGAGUGCUGGAGUGGAGCAGAGGGAAGCAACCACAGCGCAGUCUGGUCUAGUGAGACUAAUGGUCAUGUCAGGGGAAAAGUCCUGCUAUGACCCAGCCUCGGUGUGCGUGGCCAAGCCCUGUGCAGACAGCCCUGUGCAGACAGCUGCUGGGGAAGGUCCAGGGAAGAACCAGAAGUGAGCUGGCCUUUGGUAGCAAAGCUGUGCUAAGUAGUCGAGAUUUAGAGCUGGACGUUCUCCCCAUCCUCUUUAGUAAAGAUGCCAACGUAUCCUGUAUUCAAAGCUCUUUGCCAGGGGGUUCACCUUGCUGCAGUCUGCACCUCGUGUCUAUGCUCUGUGGUUUGUGGUGGAGAUGAUUGCUUUGGCAACUGCCCUUCAGGGCUGCUAGCACCCUGGCAGCCAUCCUACAGCCACAUGAGAGCCACCUAAACAGGAUGUUCUCUCCAGCUUCCAGGACCCCCAGGAUGCAUUCCUGUCGCCAAUGAGAUCUUUACUUCUGUGGCUGAUGGGCUCUGAGUGAGCCCAGUCUGGAGAAGGGCUGCUGUCUCACCUUUCCCCAGCACCUGUGGUGGGAUGAGCUCCCCUCCCAGCAAUGGGCUGCAGAGAGGAGGAGGAAGGACGUGGCUGGGGCAGCCCAGAGCUAUUUGCAGAGCUCUGCUCUUGACCCAGGAGUAGGAUUACAGCCUUCUAGUUACACUUUCCCCGGUGCAAACCAAUGCUGAAACAGUGCUGCGAGGGCUUGGAUGCAGUGCAGCUGUAAGGAAUAACUGAGCCGUGUAUGUAAAUCUAUUAUUUUUACAGUUAUUGUGGCUUCUGCUUUGUCUCCGUUAUCUGAGAAGGCGACUCCUGGCAUUCUAAUAAAACUAUGGAGUUAAUUUUAAUUACUGACAUCUGCAGCUUGGGUUGCUAUAGAAACACAAAGAACUGCCACUUCUACAAGUUUCAUCUGUAACUUGCUGCCUGGAAAUGUGUGGGGUCUGAUUCCUCCCUCCCAUCUCACAGUAGCAAAGCAGGGAUGGCUGCUGCAUCGGUCAACUGUAAAGGCUGUACAGUGAGUAUAGGACAGGAAGAUUAAUCUAACUUCUGGGACACAGAGACAAGAGCUAGAUGUUAUUCCUAGCAGCCAAGGAUGAAAUAUCAGGAGCUGUCAACAGAUGAACAGAGAUUGAAGAGAUGAUGGAAGACCUGUGGUCAGAUAUGGGCUUUUAAUGAUGGGCAGCCUAGGCAGAACGAUAUGAACUGGUUCUGCACUUCUGAGAUGGCUGGAAAGCUGCCAGAGACCUUGGAGACGUUAGGACACCGCUGGAAUGAAUUUGCGUGCAUACUUUGCUUUGUCAAACACAAGGAUGUAAAAAUACUGUAUUCCACCUGAAAGCUGCCUUGUUGCAGAGUCACAUCCAGCAUCAUUGCAAGCAUCUUUAGAUUGUGAAGAAGUGAAGCCUGUAGCAAGGAAGCAAUUGUUAAGGGAGUUAACUGAUGUUAUUGAAUAGAAUCUGCAUUUGUGGAACAGAAUUAGGAGGCGCUUUCUUUACAUAAAAUAAGAGGAGCCAUUCACAGGAGACUGCAUACAGAGCACAAGCAAGCUAGGUUGGGAGUUCAUGGUAAUACUAAAUACCUUGCAGUGCAUGAGCUAUUUUUCACCAGGGAGACCAGAAGCCCUGAUCAGUAUUAAGAGCCUGUUGUCCUAUCGCAAAUACAGAGCAAACACAGAUAACAGGUAGCCAGCCCUGGAAAAUGUUUGUUUAUUCUGAUACAAUGGCAGAUUUACGCAUAAUUUGUGGACCUGCACUUAAUCAAAUCACAUGAACAUGUAGGCAAACACGUGCGGCCAUGCUUGUGUCUUUCAUCAAAUGUGAUUGAUAAAGAAAAGAAUUAGUGUAAGGAGUUGCAUUGUUGGAGGGCAUCGUUGUAAGCCAAACCUCUAUCGUCACAGCGAGCGGAGUUCCAGUAAUUGCAUUUUAAGGAGUAAUAAUUGACAUUUCAGGUACAAGAAGAGAAGAGCCUGGCUCAAUUGUAGAGUAUAUACCUCUCGAGAAUGACACAGGAAUGUCAUGAAUACGAAGACAGCAAAUUUUUGGCAUCUUUUACCUUUCAGGGGACAGCAGAUCAGCACACAGCCUUCACAAUGUUCUCUGUCUGUGAUGAUUUCGUUCUUUUAUUUACAGUCUUCCAUGGUGAUGGAGCCCACAAACUAUGUUCCACAAACUCCGUUCCACAUUCUUUGACUCCACCUAUGGGCAGCGUGGAUGGUGAAUGCUGGCUGAUGGCACCCUCACCCAAUUGCAGGAAGCCUGCUGCUCAGCAGCUUGAGUGGUCCCAGAAGAGCUGGAGGAACACUCAGUGCAGCAGUCCUGACAUGAAUUGUCCAAAACGGCUAACUUGCCUGAGUAUAAUGACUUCAGCUAGAGUUGUAUUUAUCAGCCAGCUCCAGCCUUCAAGGACUUGGUUCUAAAAGAACCCUGAAUUGAUUAGUUACCCACCUAAACAGGUUUUACAUUCCAGAUGAGCUCCUUUAUUCAAAUGACAGAGGGCCAUUAUGUUGCUAGAAUGAUUACCAUGUCCUCCAUAUAUGGCUCCAAGUGAAUCAGUGAUCACUUUUAUAAGAAAAUUUGCUCCUACAAACUCCUCUGAUUUAAUGCUGCGGUCAUGGAUCCAGAUUGAGUUACAUUCCUACGCCUACCUGAAGAUAAGUGGACUUCCAGCCUCACCACCAGACACGUUCAUAUUUCAGGUCCCCGCCAUGAUGGCUCUGAGCGUUGUGGUGUGGCUACAGGAGAUCAGUACUGCGCAAAUGAGCAGCAAGGCUGAAGAUCUGGAUAAAAUUUUACUUCAAGCCUUAUUUUAUUACUCCACCAACAGCCUCCUCUUUAACUUUGUUCUCCCUGUGGGUAAAGUUUGAAAUGUCCCACUGAAUGGUGGAGUCCAACUACAGCAAUUGUACAAUGAUGGCAUUCUGUAGCAAGUAUGUCAAAGGGGAAGCUUUCAGUGCGUUUACUGAGCUUUUCAUGAUACAGGUAUCUGAUGCAUCCAAAAAUUGUUUUAGUUCUUCGUCCUUCUUCAAGAUAAUCUUACUGAACAUUAAAGAAAACUGUGUGAUGUUUAUUUUUUUGUCAAAUUUCUGUGGCAAUACUGCAUGCUACUGCAGCAGGCAGCGAGGGGAAUCUUAAAAUGUUUUGCCAGUCCAGUGCCCAAAAUCUCUCUAAAUCCCAGAGGUAUUGCAAGCUUUUGGCAGAGUAGAGGCUGGCAUGAAAAGCCACGGACAUUCCACCUACAGUAACAGAGCUCUGGUAAAGGAAUCUGUAGGCUGGAAACUGAACGCAUGGAGGAGCAGAUAUGGGUCACCAUAUGGGCCCUCAGUCAUUGGCUCCAUCAUCACUGUUUGUAUCAAGAGCCAGAGCCAAGCUCUCCAUAACGUGUCUCCUUCUCCACAUCCACCUUUGCUAGCUCCUCUAUGUUUCUCUUCCUACAGAGGGAACAGUGCAUUUCUGCUUAUCAUUGUGGCACUGAGGGAUGUGGUUUAGAGAGCAUAGUGAUCGUGGUUGGAUUAGAGGAUUUUAGUGGUCUUUUCCAACCUUAAUGAUUCUAUGAUUUUAUGAUCUCUUCCAUAGGGCAGCAGAACUCAGUUUUCCUGCUCUUGAAAAGUUGGCCCUGGCCAAAAGUCUGGCUUGCAUUUACACUGCAACCCCGUUUUGUUUGCUUGGCUUUCACGCUCCUAUGACCUGCCCACAACAACAGAGCAGUUACCAGCCUCCUGGUUAUUAGGAACCAUAUUGUAGAGCUGUAUCCACAUUUUUCAAAGUUUUAUCACUUGUGGAAUUCUUCCAAAGAGAUAUGGAAAAAAAAAAACCACCACCAACGACAGCAACAAACCCAAACCCACAAGCCACAUGACAGGACCAUGCAUCAGUAGUUCUAACCUUCGUCAGCUUGUUGUUCAGUUUAUGAUUAUUCUGUGUACAGGAUAGAUUAUAAAAUGUUCCCUUGACAUCAUCUCAAUGACAAUCUGGUUUGAAGUAAGGGAAGAUUUUAAUGGAAAAAUAUCCAAACACAUCUUGAAAACAUUUUUGACUCUUGUUGUCCCAAAUCCCUCAUUUCUGUCCUGUAGGGUAGAAAAUGUUGCUAUUUCCAGUUUCUGGAUACCAUAAUCUGGCUGAUUUAUUUUUAUAACCAAAAUAAUUGUAUGUCUGAUUUGCCAAGAAUUUAAAAAAUUCCAGGCAGCUCUCAGUAUUUAUGUCACCAUAGCACCAGUUGUCCUGGCAGGGGUUGGGGAUUUUUACAGUGCAUGCUGUACAAGCAGAGCCUUCAAAAAGAAUCUGCGUUAGAGCUUGAUUCUUUACUUCUGCAACCCAUUUCUGCCAUGUUUCAUUCACUGUGAGAAAAUGUGAGGUACUGAGAUGGAUAUCACCACUCAACUAGUGAACACUAGUAGUAGAUCGCCAGCUGAAAGUAUAUCUUGUCCUGUUGCAGUAAGGUGAAGCUAACAGGAUCUUUCUGCUGGGAUUAUAUGUGGAGAUAUAAUAUGAUAGCUGCUGAUGUAAAAACACAUCCUUUCUCAAGUACAAAUGUAGAAGCCAGGUGAUUCCUUAGGAGAAGAACCACUGUCAUGCAAAGCUGAACCAGUUGGUGGACGCUUAGGUAAUAAAUGAUGACAACAUCUAGACAGGAGAUGAAAUGUUUUGUGGAGGGAGUUCAGUGUCAGAUUCAGAGCAAGCUUGGGAACUCUCUCCACUUCUCCAGAUCUCCCACAGGCUUCACUUUGAAAAAAAGAAAUAUGCUACAAAUGUGGUACUUCAGCACCUCCGUAUCAGUGCAGGGGGAACCUACCAAAAGGGCAUGCUGAUACCCCUUUUUGUCCCAGCUGGACUUCUCACCAUCAGUCAGUGAAGUGACACAAAUGAAUCCCCCGAUGCCCAAAGAGUGUGCAAAAUGCCAUCAUAGUGCUGUAUUUUACCCGAUUGCUGUGGUUUGCUUCUCUCCCUUCAAGUCUUCUUAAAGACCCCAACCAGCACAUGAAAGGCAAAAUACCAUCCCCUUUUCUUGCUUUUCCCUAGUGCCAUGGCCUAAUUUCUAACAUAACAUUUUUGGCAAGUUCCAGUGCAAGGCUCCUUGUUUGGUAUUACUGAAAUCUUUCCAUUUGGAUUAAUUUGGUUGGUGUUUAACUUUGCCUUAUAUGCUUAAGUAACAGGCUGAGCAGAAUGCUUGUUACCUUGGGCAACCCAAAACUGACUGCUGAACUGCCAGUCAUUAACCAUUUACCUGGGACUUAACAACACUAUUUACUAAUCAAUAGUGAGAACCAUGGUAACCUUGGCUCUACAGAGCCUGAUAUCUUAUGGGAACCACGCUAAAGAAACACCAAUUCCUAGUCUUUAAUACCUGGUUCUUUUCUGCAAGGCUUCAGAGAAAGUUGGGAUGUGGCAGAAGAGGCAUGGUAUGGAUGGAGCAGAAGAAUGACGCAAGUUUAGGAGGAGGUGUCUGAUGAGGCAGAAAGAAACCUAAUCUUUAAAUGCAGAUGAACUCCCCCAGAGACAGCUGAAACGGAGGGGAGAUCAGUGGGGAUGCUGUAUCACCUGACACAUCUGCUGCUGAUACGCCUGCCAGGAAAUGGGGAGUUGUGAGCAAGGUUUGAACCCUUAGGCUUUACUAAGGAGUAGCAAAUACAGCACAGAAUGAGGUCCAACAAGGUGGGAGGCAGAUGUGGUGAGCCUCUGGAAACUGCUGCCUCCAUCUAUGGCUGGGCUUGAAUGGAGUCAAAACAUGUCUGUGAAUAAUAGCAUACCGUUACAAGUCCAAGUCUUACAGAGACACAGAUCAGGUUUACUUUCCUGAACAAAAAUGGGUUUGGACAUCAUAAUGAGCUACAUAUCACCUAGUCGGGUUUAUUCACCCCCUACAAUGGCUCAUCUUACCCUGAAGAUAAAGGAACUGCUGGCUGACCUCGUGCUUCAGAGUUCAUGGGCAGGGAGCCACUUUUGGAGGAUGGUUGACCUACACCUUGGAGCUACAGCAUCUGUUAGCAUCAGGCAAAAUACAACUAUUCAGGGAAGUCACAGCCAUUCUGGUUUUACCAUCCUGAAGAAAUCAGGUGGAAAUAACCCAGUGUUACAAGGAUGAAACAGUUGCUGUGUGAGAUGCUCUGAGGUUCUCGGUACAUCACUGAAGGAAUGAGUGACCUUUUGGUGAAGGAAGAAAUGACACCAGGAUUUUUGUGAGGACAAAGUGACCCUUGUUAUGGCUCGCAGGCGAGUGAGCUAACUUCUGUGUCAAAGCCUUUCUCUUGAUAUUAUUUUGUAUUUGUGAACUUUGUGCCCGUAAGCACUGUGUGACCAGCUUACACCACGGGCCUUAGGUGUUCCAGGAUUUUGUUCUCCUGACCUGCUUCAUGGACAAUUCCAACCUGUAAUGCAAGUGGAUCUCCG
ensembl:lncRNA